rnacentral:rRNA from 1 species
CCCUUAGAUGUUCUGGGCUGCACGCGUGUUACAAUCGGGAGUACAACAAGAUUGCAAAUCCUAGUGGAUGAGUGGUUCUUCGAAAUUUUCUGAAGACUGGGAUAGUUGAUUGAAAUUAUUCAACUCAAACGAGGAAUUCCUUGUAAUUGUAAUUCAUUAUAUUGUAAUGAAUACGUCCCUGCCCCUUGUACACACCGCCCGUCGCUCCUACCGAUUGAACGAUCCGGUGAAUUAUUUGGAGUAGCUCUGGAAGUUGCAGAACUUCCUAUGUCACGAAAUUUUGUAAACCUUAUCGUUUAGAGGAAGGAAAAGUCGUAACA